GACAAUUAAGAUUUCAAAAUCCGUUAAAUUUGCCUAAUAUUACACAAUUUUUGUAAGCCUCUCAUGUUUUUUAGAGACGGAUUAAGAAAUUAUCCUAAAAAUAGUGUAAACAAAGUAUAACUAUAAAGGAAUGCUCGGGUGCCAUAAAGUUUCAACACUUAAGAUUUAAAUAGUGUAAACAAAGUAUAAUUAUAGAUGAAUGCUUGGGUGCCAUAAAGUUUUAACACUUAAGAUUUAUUUGUACAACUUAGAAUCACACAAUGCAUUAACAAAAUUAAGGGAAAACAAAAACAAUCGAAAACAACUAAUGCAUUAAUAAAUUUUCCCAUCCAUUGCAUUGCUACAAGAUCCUCCUCCCUCUUCUUUUAUCAAAUAACCUAUGUUUAGCUCAACUUCAUACAUCAUAUAGUCUGCAAAUACAAUUGGUUGCCAUAAUUAGAAGAUUAUAAUUUGACAUGAGAAUUGAGAAGAAAGUAAGAAAUACGAUUUGACUAUAAUUCGAUAAAAGACACUAUUUCAACACAUUUAGCACACAUUGUGUUGCAAUCCAAAUUUGAAACUAUAGUGUGAUCAAGAACCAAGCAUAUAAAAAUUGUCAGAUAUUUAGUACAGUUAAUUUCAAAUUGCCAAAUACUUCUCUAUUGAAAAACAUUUUCUUAUUGAAGUUUGUUAUACCUUCCCAGGUUGCACUGAUAGCUUAUGCAUCCCCAUCAUGUGCAUAUUGAAUGAAUUAGUUGGGCAAAAUACAUGAGUGAAAUAUUUCAAUCUUAAUACUUCUCUUGAGCAACUUUAAUGGCAGAUCCAUAUCUUCUUGGUACGUGGGGAAUGAUCUCUUAGUAACACUUUCAGUUGGUGAUUUCUCAUCACCACUCAAAACAGCUUCACCAAACUUUGGCAUCAAAUACUAAAAAGUAAAACUCUUAAUAAUCAAUAUGAGUAGUAACACUAAACUGCAGAAUUUGGUUUCAAGUAAGUAAAUAUUUAUUUUGCAUAAAAAUACUGAAAAUGUACCUNNNNNNNNNNNNNNNNNNNNNNAUCUGACUUUAACAGAAAAAAGUGAGAUUAAAGUUAUUUAGAGAACAGUUUAAAUGAAUAAGAUAAGUGUUCAUGUGAGAUUUUAGAAACCAGUUUUGUGAAAACAUGUUCAAUAAUAGACAAGACAAAAUUGAAAAAGGUAAAAACUUUGUUAUAACAUGUGAAAGGACAUCAGAAGAUCCUGCCAACAUAGGUUGUUUGCCUUUGUCCAUGAAGGAACUCAAUGAAGCAUUUUCCUAAUCUAUUAUACUUGCAUUGCAUCUCUAAUAGUGUUUGUUGGUUUUGCUUAAGAACAUAGAGAUCAAUUAAAAGAAGAUCAAUUAAUUGAAAAUAUCAAAAGAGAAAGUAUUUUUGUUGGCUUUGCUUAAGAACAUGGAACUAUUAGAGUAUAAGUAAUCUAUGAAAAGUUUCUCCAAAAAAACAGAGUAUUAAAAUCAAAAGGCAGCCUAAAACAUGUUGAACUCAUAGAAUUAGAUUGCAAGUUAAAUACCAAAAACAUCAUAGCCAUAGUCAUACCUACCAACAUUGAACUCAGUAGCAAUAGUCAAGGCCAUUUUUUUCUAAAGUUUUUAGCAAGUUUAUAGCCAGAAUGAUGAAGAAGACACCAUUUUUAUAAAUACCUGAAAGCUGGUGAUGUAAAAGCUAACAAAUAAUCAGUAUUCACUAAUUGCAUACAAAUGAUGGUUUAGAAAAGCACAAAAAAUAAGACCACAAAGCCAUCAAUUUUUCAUAGAGACGUUUUCUCAAACACUUUGAGUGCUCUUACUUUCACAAUCAAAUGAGAGUUUUCAAAUACAAUCAAAGCUAGGUAAAUGAAAAGAAAAAUGAAAUAUGGAAAUGAACAUUGAAGAAAUUGCAGAAGUAUAGUAAAUAGCUAUGAAAAUAUACCUUUAAACUCCAUUUCUCUUAACAGCAGCAACAAAACCAAGAGGAAAACCUGGAAGUACAAAAAAGUAACAGAAAAAUGCAAAAAUUAGAAAUAAAAAUUGAAAUAAAAAAAACAAAUUAAGAAAAACUAUAAAAUAGUGCGAAAAGAGAUCGAGACCUGUAGACAGGAGAUUGAAAAAAAUGAGGGAUUUCAAAAAGGGAAGAAAAAUGGAGCUCAUCAAGCUUUGGAGUAUAGAGAGAGAGAUGAGAGUUUGAAAUUUGAAAUUGAGAAUUGGUUUUUGAAAGUGGCUGAAUGUGUACUUCAUAUCCAUUAUAUGCAUAAUUGUUUUUGUCCAACACAGAUGAUAAUUUGUCCUAUGGUUAAAAUUUUGUUUCUGUUUGACUCCUUUUUUUGGUCUGACGGUCAGAUUUUGGUUGUUUUGCACAUGAGUGAAAGUGACGGGUCCUCCUUAUUAGCUUCAGCCCUCCAAAAGGGAAAUUCAAACAUUUGAAUUUUACUUCCAAUUCAAGCAAUCAAAUUGGCAAAGACAAAAGUCGCUCUUUUAUUUUCUUCAAAAGUUUGAUGGCUUUGUGGUAAUUAAUGCAUUCAAGUAAAAACCAUAUUUUAAAAAAUGAGAUUAUUUUGAAAAGUCCUAAACUACACAACAAAGCCUUUCUUUUAUAGACUAAUAAUCAUUUAGUUCUAAUGACAUAUACAACUAUACAAUGUAACACAUUAAAAAACUCUAAUUAAAACCUUAAAUCAAAAUAAUACAUAGUAAAUAAGCUUACCUAAUAUACUGAUCAUGAGGCAUGUAAAGUUCAUUGAGAGGAUCGAAGUAGCCAAAUGGUAUACAAAAGCAAAAGAAAAAUUGAAGUUAGAGUUUGGAAGAGAAAAAACAAAAAAAGAAUGCUAAGAAAGCUAAUAGACCUAGUUUAUCCUCAUUAACCAUGUCAUUAUCUUUUUGUUUGCUACUUCAUUGUCAUUGCUAACUUAUUAGAAGAAUUAACCAUGUCAUUAUCUUUUUGUUUGCUAUUUCCCUGUCAUUGCUAACUUGUUAGAAGAAAGUAUUGGAG
rnacentral:lncRNA from 1 species